rnacentral:tRNA from 1 species
UCCUCGGUAGUAUAGUGGUGAGUAUCUCCGCCUCUCAGGUGGAAGGCCCGUGUCCGAUUCCCGGCCGAGGAG